rnacentral:rRNA from 1 species
AUACGUAGGUGACAAGCGUUAUCCGGAUUUACUGGGCGUAAAGGGCGUGUAGGCGGUCUUGCAAGUCAGAAGUGAAAUUCCUGAGCUCAACUCGGGCGCUGCUUCUGAAACUGCAGGACUUGAGUGCUGGAGGGGAUAGCGGAAUUCCUAGUGGAGCGGUAAAAUGCGCAGAUAUUAGGAAGAACACCGGUGGCGAAGGCGGCUAUCUGGCCAGUAACUGACGCUGAGGCGCGAAAGCGUGGGGCGCAAACAGGAUUAGAUACCCCGGUAGUCCGGGCCGUAAACGAUGGGUACUAGAUGUGGCAGGUAUCGACUCCUUCCGUGCCGGAGUUAACGCAAUAAGUACCCCGCCUGGGGAGUUCGGCCGCAAGGCUUAAACUCAAAUGAAUUGACGGGG